AAUGAACGCUGGCGGCAUGCCUAACACAUGCAAGUCGAACGAAGGCUUCGGCCUUAGUGGCGCACGGGUGCGUAACGCGUGGGAAUCUGCCCUCAGGCUCGGAAUAACAGCGAGAAAUUGCUGCUAAUACCGGAUGAUAUCGCGAGAUCAAAGAUUUAUCGCCUGAGGAUGAGCCCGCGUAGGAUUAGCUAGUUGGUGUGGUAAAGGCGCACCAAGGCGACGAUCCUUAGCUGGUCUGAGAGGAUGAUCAGCCACACUGGGACUGAGACACGGCCCAGACUCCUACGGGAGGCAGCAGUGGGGAAUAUUGGACAAUGGGCGAAAGCCUGAUCCAGCAAUGCCGCGUGAGUGAUGAAGGCCUUAGGGUUGUAAAGCUCUUUUACCCGGGAUGAUAAUGACAGUACCGGGAGAAUAAGCUCCGGCUAACUCCGUGCCAGCAGCCGCGGUAAUACGGAGGGAGCUAGCGUUAUUCGGAAUUACUGGGCGUAAAGCGCACGUUUGCGGCUUUGUAAGUGAGAGGUGAAAGCCUGCAGCUCAACUCCUGAUUUGCCUUUAAUAUUGCAUCGCUUGAAUCCAGGGAGAGGUGAGUGGAAUUUCGGUGGAA
rnacentral:rRNA from 1 species